UACGGGGGGAGCAAGCGUUGUUCGGAUUUACUGGGCGUAAAGGGCGCGUAGGCGGUCAGCACAAGUCAGUUGUGAAAUCUCCGGGCUUAACUCGGAAAGGUCAACUGAUACUGUGCGACUAGAGUGCAGAAGGGGCAACUGGAAUUCUCGGUGUAGCGGUGAAAUGCGUAGAUAUCGAGAGGAACACCUGCGGCGAAAGCGGCGCACUGGACCACAACUGACGCUGAGGCGCGAAAGCUAGGGGAGCAAACAGG
rnacentral:rRNA from 1 species